UACGAAGGGGGCUAGCGUUGCUCGGAAUCACUGGGCGUAAAGGGUGCGUAGGCGGGUCUUUAAGUCAGAGGUGAAAGCCUGGAGCUCAACUCCAGAACUGCCUUUGAUACUGAGGAUCUCGAGUUCGGGGAGAGGUGAGUGGAACUGCGAGUGUAGAGGUGAAAUUCGUAGAUAUUCGCAAGAACACCAGUGGCGAAGGCGGCUCACUGGCCCGAUACUGACGCUGAGGCACGAAAGCGUGGGGAAGCAAACAGGG
rnacentral:rRNA from 1 species